rnacentral:tRNA from 1 species
CAUUGAAUGGCUGAAAUUGUAAGCAAUGGUCUCUUAAACCAUCAAUAGUUAUUACUUUCAAUGA